rnacentral:rRNA from 1 species
AGAGUUUGAUUAUGGCUCAGGAUGAACGCUAGCGACAGGCUUAACACAUGCAAGUCGAGGGGCAGCGGGAGGAAAGCUUGCUUUUCUUGCCGGCGACCGGCGCACGGGUGAGUAACACGUAUGCAACCUGCCCAUGACAGGGGGAUAAGCGGGAGAAAUUCCGUCUAAUACCGCAUAACACCCCCGGGAGACAUCUCUCGGGAGUCAAAGGAGCGAUCCGGUCAUGGAUGGGCAUGCGGCGCAUUAGUUAGUUGGCGGGGUAACGGCCCACCAAGGCGACGAUGCGUAGGGGUUCUGAGAGGAAGGUCCCCCACACUGGUACUGAGACACGGACCAGACUCCUACGGGAGGCAGCAGUGAGGAAUAUUGGUCAAUGGGCGAGAGCCUGAACCAGCCAAGUCGCGUGAGGGAAGACGGUCCUACGGAUUGUAAACCUCUUUUGUCGGGGAGCAAUAAGGCGUACGUGUACGCAGAUGCGAGUACCCGAAGAAAAAGCAUCGGCUAACUCCGUGCAGGAAGCCGCGGUAAUACGGAGGAUGCGAGCGUUAUCCGGAUUUAUUGGGUUUAAAGGGUGCGCAGGCGGAAAGUGCAAGUCAGCGGUCAAACGACGGGGCUCAACCCCGUCUCGCCGUUGAAACU